AAAAAACUAGUUAAAAAAUAACCUUGGACUGUCAGACCAAAAUUACUGGUAACCACACCUGUGUUUUUUA
rnacentral:tRNA from 1 species